CAGACAGGUCCUGGGGGAGCAGAGUUCCCAUGGGCCUCACAGGCCACGGUCAGGCCAGAGGCUGACACAUAAGGGGCCCCUGGGUAAAGGAGGACGAGGCGCUUCUCUUCAGCACCCCUUCCUCCAAGCCGAUGUGGCCCUGGACUCCCCCAUCCUACUUGCAGAGGCCAAGACCCGCCCUCCAGGAGCAAGGGGCAGUGCGUGUGAGCCACUGAAGGGGCUGUCCCUGGGGAGAGCGUGCCCAGCUGGGACUGAAGUGACCCGAGAACUCAGUCAUUCCAUGACAGCCCCUAACAGCCCCUGAGAGGCUCGCGUGGGAAAGCUGUGCGGCCAGACGAGUUGGAAGAGAAAAGUGUGCCCCACUCCCCUGCCAGCAGCUGGAAUAAACCCUCCAGAGCCCAGGCUCUCUCAGACUCCAUGAUGCUGCUUGAAGACCCAACUCCACACGGGAUGGGGCGGUUGCCUGCCCACUUUCGGCGCUGCCACUCACUGCGCAGAUGGGCACUUUCGCUGGCCAGGCUAAUUGGUUUAUGGAUAACAUUAAUUACCAUGUUGCUCAUUAAUGGGUGAAAUCUUUAUUGGUGCCAUUGAUCAGCGAACUUGUUAGCUGGCCUCCUAACCAAUGGCGGAUGUAACAAGCUCUCUUAUUGGCAUAUCAAUUAAUGCAAUCAAUUCCUGGCCGGCGGCUGCCAUUCACUUCCCUGGUUGUUCAGGGGUAGGAGACAGAACCACGUCAAGCCCACCUGUUCUCCACUGACUUCCCAGCUCUCAACUGACUUCCAGGUGGUCUCUCUGCCACUUGGGGCUCAUCUAUUGAAAAAACAACAACAAAUCACACCUACCCUUCCAUUUGAAAAUCGCCUUUCUGUGUUCUAGAGGUGACCAAAGUGCUACACUCUAUCAGGAUACAUAAGCCAGAAGGGAAGGUAUGAGGGACCUGGGGACUGUGACAGCAAACGGGGGACCGAUGGAUUCAGGAGACGUUUCUAGAUGAGGCACUGAUAGAAAUGAUGUGGUCUCCAGCCUGGACCCUGGACAUUACUCCAGGCAACGAUGGGACCAGCCCGAAAAUACAAACCACAGUCAUCAGCCCUCUGCCCUUCUGGGGACCCCUUCCCAGGAUCCCCCAGUCUCCCAAUCCAUAGUCAUACCUACACGCCUCACGGCAUCCGCCUCCCUCAAGGCCUCCGUCCAGCGGGCCCUGUGUGAAAACACUGCCUACCCAUCUUAAAUCCCAAGCUCCGGUAUGGAAAAGGAGCCUCCGCCCCACUAUCGCCACCAGUGGUGCACACAAGUAGCAGAACGCUUGUUGAAAUGCCUACGAUCAACUGUCUCAAUGGCACUUACAUCAUUAUAAAGUCACAGGUGGGAAAUGUUUUCUCUGGGCAGAGAUAUGUCUUUAGGUACUAGGUUGUUUUAGAAAAGGCUCAGGGACUAGGGGUGUGGGGUGGUCCACAGAACUGUGGAUUCAGAGCUAGACCCUGCCGGUGACUAGCGAACAUCAGGGCAUGGAUGCCACCACACAGGGGAUGAGCUAACAUGCUUAUGGCUUUGGAGGGGUAUGUGGGGAAUGCGUGACCCCCAAGAUAUGCUUUAAAAGCAUUAACUAAAAUUUGCCCCAAAAGGGAGCAGCUGGGAAUAUUAUUCCAGAUUUGUUUCUAAAUGCCAAAAAUAAAGUUGAAAAGGGUAGAAAAUCACUAUUCUACUCAGCGGUGCUAGUGCUAUUAAUAAACUUUGCAAGCACAAACAUUUAACUCAAGGAGAGAGGGUACAGGCAACAAGAAUUGGUGAAAAGCGGAUGGAGGGUGGGGACGAGAGCAACUUUUGGUAGAGCAGUGGCAGAGCACAGGAGGCUGGUGAGGCCGUGGCUCGGGGACAUAAUUCUCAGUGUUUGAAAGCACCACUCGGGGCUUCUAGGAUAAACAGUAGAAAUAUUUCCUCUCAUUUAUAAAUAGAAAGUGACGUUUUUCCACACAGGCCUUCAGUACUUCCAUAUUCACAAGACAGAGGCGGGUCCUGUACAGACCAAGUCAGGGGCCAGAAAGAGGUACCCCAGCCAGGCGACACCCUGUCAGUGUGGAGUCUGACAGGCGGCAGAGAGAAGGGGAAAAAGGUGUCAGAGGGGAGGCCGAGACCUCCUCAGCCUCAAAGCCACUCUUCGCGUUGGAACAAAAGGCGGCACACCCUACGCAGUGGUCACCCAAUGCAGAUGACAGGGAGAUCCCCAGAUAAGGGGCCCUUCAUCAGCCACUCAACGCCGAUGUCAUUUUUCCAGCAAGAGUGGCCCUCCGUGCUUCCAACGGCACGAGUCCCGGUGCACCUCUAGGGUAGAGUUCCCGUGGUACCCUGGUGUCUGAACUGCCCGCUGUGAGCCCUAUAAUGCUGCAGGGGUGCUGCAAGUUUUGAUUCCAAUUUCAUUUUAAAUUGGCGAUUAAGUUACUGGUUAUUAUUAAAUGCUAUAAUACUAAGGCAUACUCAAAUGUGAUGCAUGCCAAAAUUUAACACCCCAGAGGCCAGGGCAUUAAGUUGUAUAGCCAAGUUUACUCGUUUUUGAGUAAAUCUCAGAGUAAAACAAUGUCUGCUAUUUCUGCUUAAUUGAGGACUCUUCUGAGAUUGCAAGGCACCCUGCUCAAAACCCUUGCCAUAUGGAACCACUUCCACAUGAAUGAGGAUUUGUAUAAUAAUAGAGCCAAACCAAAACACAUAAACAAAGCACAAGCUUAGUCCAUACCCCUUCACUACCUUCCAUAAUGCUUAAUUUUGAUCAAAAUGUUGAUCAACUCUGCCCUGUUCUCAUUUUUUGAUACAUAAAUGUUACAAAUCUCAAAUCCUAAAACAACUACAGUUACAAAGGUUUUUAAAAAAAAUAAAAAUUUACGUAUUAGGUUCAAAUUGGAUUUCAUUUUUCAGAAAAGAGAGCUCCACUAAUAAAAGUUUACAAUCCAUUGUUUUCAUCCAAUGUAUAGUUCUAGAUUCAAGUGGAGUGCGCUCUUUGGAGGGCCUCUCUUAGAAGCAACAUGGAAAGCCUAAAGUUUCUGGUAAGAAGUUAAAAACUCACAGUUCUACGUUAACAAAGCACCCUUACGUACGUUUGGUAUCCUAUGAAUACUACCCUGGCAUGUGACGAUAAUGUGCCAAAACGGAGGGAGUUGUGCCUCGGUGUUAAGAUUAUAGCUGAUGUAAAAGCAUUGUUUUCUGUCGUGUAUUUUCUUUGCAAUAAAAAAUAAAGGAGGAGAACAGUGCCUGGAUGACUUCCCACAAGAGCACAAGCCCCAGUCCCUUUCAGACAGGGCGCCUUCCUUCUCGUCUGCCAUGGUGAUGCUCAGAAUGGCAGCGGUCCCUGCUCUGAUAAUCUGACCAGACCGAAAGCUUCCAUGGCGUGUUUUCUUUUCCCAAAGACAAGAGCUUAGAAGCUCUCUCUCUCUCUAAGACAGAAAAGAGGAGCUGUCUAUUCUGUUCAUUUAUUUAUUUACCAAGUCAUGACACAUGUCUAUGAGUUUGUGCCGACUAGGUUGCAGGCAUUGUGGAUCUAACUGGACAAGGACACAGUCCUCCCCUCGUGAAACUUACCCUCCAGCAGCCUCACCAUGGGUGACAUACAAUGACUGUGUUACAUCCAACCUUGUCACUGAACCAUCAUGUCAACAUGCACCUGGACAAGAAAAAUCACCUCCUUAAAUAGACGUAUGCUUGCUCACCUGAGGGAUGACAAGGUUGGCCUUGGGGGGCGGUGGUGUCUAAUGGGGCUGCCAUGUGAGGGUGCUAGGUUGGCCACUGUUCAGUACUAUCAGCGAACAGCAGGAACCACCGAAGAAUGAAGCCCCGCCCACUGUGAAAAGACUCUUGUUCCCAAGACCCUGACCCAUGCUUCCCUGAAUCUUCACCUGGCUGAUUAUGCAUCAAGG